AUUGAACGCUGGCGGAAUGCUUUACACAUGCAAGUCGAACGGCAGCACGGACUUCGGUCUGGUGGCGAGUGGCGAACGGGUGAGUAAUGUAUCGGAACGCGCCCAGUCGUGGGGGAUAACGUAGUGAAAAUUACGCUAAUACCGCAUACGAUCUCUGGAUGAAAGCGGGGGAUCGCAAGACCUUGCGCGAUUGCAGCGGCCGAUACCAGAUUAGGUAGUUGGUGGGGUAAAGGCCGACCAAGCCAACGAUCUGUAGCUGGUCUGAGAGGACGACCAGCCACACUGGAACUGAGACACGGUCCAGACUCCUACGGGAGGCAGCAGUGGGGAAUUUUGGACAAUGGGCGAAAGCCUGAUCCAGCCAUUCCGCGUGCAGGAUGAAGGCCCUCGGGUUGUAAACUGCUUUUGUACAGAACGAAAAGGUUUCUACUAAUACUAGGAGCUCAUGACGGUACUGUAAGAAUAAGCACCGGCUAACUACGUGCCAGCCGCCGCCGUAA
rnacentral:rRNA from 1 species